UGCUUGGAGAAGUUUAAUCUCUUCAAAACAGCUGCAAUAAAAAGAAUGCUGUUGGAAAGAAUUUGCCGAAUCGUGAAUGCGAACCAGUCCUAGACUCCCACCCCUGCCUCAGAAGCAGCUCCUCUGCUCACGAGCCAAAGCCGCCCGGAAGUCCCUUCCCGGGGUCAGUGCCGCUUGGGUGUCGGAUGCCCACCUGCCCAAGCUUGGCGGUCUCCACAUUAGGACCCGUGAAACGUCAAAACUACAAAGCAUUUGGGAAGUGGUGGACUAGUCAGAACCAGGACAAGCCUUAGGAUGAUCCCGGAUCCAGGGCAGGUACUGAGAUGUGUGAACUCUUGACCCCAGGACCUGCAUUUUUCAAAGGCAGUGUGCCAUGUGAUGGCACAUCUGAAGGUACUUUUCUUCUGGGCAGGCUUUUUACCGGGCUUGGGGAUGAUCCUCGCGGCCUUUGGUGCUGACCUGAUGUUUUCCCACUGCUCAAGAGCACCCACAGGGCCAUCCUUGGGCUUCUCUCUGAUGUCAGGGGCUGAAGCCAGGAGCUUCUUAGAGGGUCAAGUCCUGGAGCAGAGUUGUCUUUUGUGAAGGCUCAGAGGGCGGCAGAGCAUGGCACACGAAGUCCCGUUCCUUCCUUAGCAAGUCAUUGCAGCCAACUCUGGGGCUUUGGUGUUUACUGUGAUGUUUAUGUCAUUAUUUGAUUUCUUGGCAUUCAAAAUCCUCAUUAAUAUACAUUUGUGUCUCCCUGUGGAAAUAAAGCAGUGUGUUCUCUG
rnacentral:lncRNA from 9 species